ACGUUACAGAAACUCUACCCAACAGAGUCCACAUGGGAAAGUUACUGCACCGUUUCAAAAAUAUUUACAGCUUCCCCCUUUCCAGGCCACCCAGAGUGAUAGGGUGGCUUGUGGUGCGAGGCAGGGGCCAGGAACGCCUGCUUGCUGUCUGCCAGCCCACCCCUGGGAGGUACAGUGCACUACACAGGAGUCUCUCCUUUAGUUCUGGCUCCAGGAAAGUGGCCUCCUGAGAACGACUUGCACUCAAGACAUCCUCCUCGGGGAAAACACUCUUCCCUGUCUCUGAAGAAAAAAGAAAAAAAGCAAGCGGCUGUUGUGAGCGCUGAGGAUGGGGAGGGGCUGGCAAUAACUCUUGCAGUCAUCCACACCCUUGCCAGUUGGUGGUUACCAAGAUCCCAGACACUUCCUAAUGCCAGACAAAUGCCCCAAGCCUCGGCAUGUCUGGCUUGAAGAUCUAUUCAACUGAUAGCCCCCGCCUUUUCUAGGGAGAGCCCCACUACCCGGCUAAUCAAACAAAACAUUGUUCUCAGAUGGCAGGAAGAAAGGAAAGGCUUGUCCUCUGGGCCACGACGUUUGGGGUUUAUUUAAUACACACACACACACACACACACAAACACACACACACACACACUCCUAAUUAAAAGGUUGUUACAAAACCUGGGCUUCCCGAGACUGAGGUUGUUUUGUACAGGGCGAGCACUGUAUAAAAAUUCCGGGAGGGGAGGGGAGGAAUCAGAAAGUUAAGAGCCAUUAAACAGAGAAAGAAGAAGAAGAAGAAAAAGCCCCAGGCACUUGAUGCCUGGAACCGACGUAAGACGCAGCCACUCCUCUGUUAGAUGAACAACCGAACGGCGCUCAGAUCCGCCGCAGCUGCUCUCCAAAUGUCUGCGCUGGCGCAGGGCAAAGCUUGCAACCCACCGGGCUUCAGGAGGGCUUUUCUCAUCCACAUCUUUCCCCGAGCACUCUUAGGAACCUGGCAACAGGUAACGUGGCAACCUUUGACUUUGAAAACGGCGGGUGGGAUAAUUUCAGGGCACAAAUGGAUUGUUUUCCAGCCAGCUGCAUCUCUCCUACCGCCCCCGCACCGGACCUCCUCCCUCCCAAUCCAAAGUUUGGGAAAACAAACUAAGCGCGGCAGGGCUACCCUGCUCUUGGGCGUCCCCUGGUGGCCAAGAUAGGAACAACACAUGUGCUUGGAGCUCCACAGCAAUUCCUUCUGGUAAGUGGCUUUGUUGGCCCUGCGGACUGGUAAAGAGCUGGAAUCUGUCCAGAACAUCUUUUUUUGUUUGUUUGUUUUUGUUUUCGAGACAGGGUUUGUCUGUGUGGCCUUGGCUGUCCUGGAACUCACUAGGUAGCCCAGGCUGUCCUGGAACUCAGCCUAUGCGUCCUGAGCGCUGGGAUUAAAGGGAUGCACCAGCCACGUCCAGCUCCAGAAUGGCUUCAUUUUUAUCUAAGCACAUUAGCAAUUGUCCCAUCUAUAUGCUGAGUAAAACCUCUGGACUAGCAAACCCUGGGCAUCCCGAGAGCAUGCAUGGCAGGUGGCAAAGGACUGUGAAUCCUUCUGGGGCCGAUGGGGGGGGGUGAUCAAGGUUCGAGACCAACCUGGGUUCCCUAGUCAGUCUUGAAAAAGCAUCAUCAAAAUGGGAUUCCUGCUGCGACGACUCCCAGUCUCCUCCCGUAGUCUCGUGUGCCCCCCGCCCCCCCCCCCCGUUUUGUCUUAAUGUGUAUUCUGCAUGCAGAUACCUUUUGGGUCUGCAGUUUUCCCAGUCAGCCCUGCUGGGUUCCUAUCUGCAAGGAUCACUGAAGACUUGCACACUGCCGGGCCAGGUUCCCAGACAGCAGCCUCCCAGCCUCAGCUACACCCAGGAAAAUGCCAUUGGCAGUGUUUUUAGGUUGUCUGGUCCUCUCAGACUGCCCCACCCCUUCCUCCCUUGGGCAGGAAUGGAGGCCCGCAGUUGUGGGCUGCUGUUAGCCCAAGCACCUGGCACUCCUCAGCUCUGCAUCUGGAAAUGGUACCCGGAAACUCAGAGUUCAGAUCAAAGAAUUUUUCUUUCUUCAGAAACUUCCAUUAAUUACCUAAAUUAGAAGGCACCGAAUGAUGCUGGGAAGGAGGUGUCUCUGCCGAAGGCUCAGGUCCCGGGGUUACGGUCUGAGCCCCGUCACAGAGACUUUUAGUGAAGUUUGACAAUCAAUUAAGUAAUACUAGGAGCUCAAAGUUGCCAUAUGUGAAGACAGGACAUGCCUGAAACCAUAGACAAAGCUGGGGAUCUGAGCCAGCAUGGCCUGCGUCCCAUGUCGUGUCUGUCCAAUCCGUCUGUCCCCACCCCCAGUGUGACUUGCAGCCUUCCGAGAGCCAGGGCACCUGUGUUGAAAUCGGGGCAUUUCUACCUUCAGGAUUACUAAUUUCCAAGGCGCGAGCAAGUAUCGUUCCCAGUUGGGAAUUUGAUCUGGACUUGACACUUCGUUCUCCCGGCUUUGCUAACAGGGGCCCUUGAGUCAUCUGUGUACACAGAUGACAGCCCCGGCUGCUUCAGCACUGCCAAGAUUUCAUGUCCAUUUGGCCCAUGACUCUACGGAGUGGUUUCUACCAUGGACUCGGAUCACUUCCUCUUAGACUUAGGGGAUUGUUUUCUUCCUCUUCUUCAGCAUUUGUAAUCAUGUGUGUGUUUUUCAAAAUGUGUCCCGGCCUGGCUCACAGGUCUUCCUGAGUUGAAUGGACUGUUCACAGAAAAGGGAGAUUGGGGGCCCAAGGUCAGAGUCACAGAAUUAUAGACAGUUUCCUGUUUGGGCAACUGCUCUCCCAACCCCUCGGUUAGGGCGGAUUGAGUUUGGAUGAAAGACAGCAUGCCAGUUGGGUGUGGUGGCAUACACCUGUAACUCAAUACUGGGGACUAUCAGAUGUCCAGAGUCUUGCCAUCAUAGCUGUGUAGGAAAACUCAGAACUACUAAGAGACGAGUGUGGACAUGAUGCCAGGAACAAGAAAAGUGAUGUCUCUGAUGCUCUCAUUGGCCAGCCAGCUUUCAUUUCUCUCCAGAUGCCGAUUCUCAGCCAUUUGGCUGACCCUAUAUAUUUUUUUCCUGGCCGGAUCGAGAGAAAGACGUUCACCAAGAGGUAUGAAGCACGCAGCCAAGCAUUCUUGACACGGUGGAUCCUAGACCAGGUAGGUCGCAGGCAUGACAUGGUGGAUCCUAGACCAGGGAGGUCGCAGUCAUGACAUGGUGGAUCCUAGACCAGGUAGGUCGCAGGCAUGCCACGGCGGAUCUUAGACCAGGUAGGUCACAGUCAUGACAUAGUAAAUGUUGGCUACAUGAAGGAAUGAAGGACAAUGGGAAGACAUUUCCUGGAGAAAAGGGAAGCCAGACUGUGGCUGCAAAGCUAGUCCGGGUGGCCUUGGGUCUCACAGUCCACCACCCACUCCUCCCUGUAGCCACAAGGUCAGCACCUGCAGGCUCCACUCACUGUGAAUGUUAAGGGAUCUGGAAGGACAGAUGGCGCCUUCGCGGAACAUGCCAGACUUUUAUUUGCUAUUCUCUCUGUAGAGCAUAACAACUAGUUGCUUGGUGUAUGUUCACACAGUCCUAGCAUGCAGGAGGCUGAGGCAGGGGGAUUGCAAAGGGAAAGCCAGGCUGAGUCACAAAGUUGGAUACUUGUCUCCAAAAAUUAACAUCUAGCCAGGCAGGUUGGCAUAUACUUUUAAGCCCAGCACUUGGGAGACAGAGACAGGUGGAUCUCUGUGACUCUGCGGCUUUCCUAGUCUACACAGCAAGUUCUAGGCCACCCAGAGCUACAGAGUGAGACCCUGUCUUAAAAAAUAUGUAUGGGUCUAUAUCAGUGGUAGAGUAUGCCUGAGACGGAUCUCUAGAUCCACUGAAAUAAAAAACAAUAUUCCCAAAGCGUUUGUAUUAGGUGUUAGAAGUAAUCUCAAAAUGGCUUAUAGUAUAUUGUUCACAGGUUAUGCAAAUACUACCCAAGAGACUCGAGUGGCUGAGUAUUCCUAUAAACAUGCAGGACGAAGAGGGUGUUCCAGAAUCAACUCUCCAAGGAUACCAAAGGACAGACAACUACAUAGUCUGUUGUCCCCAGUGCCCACUUCUGCUGGCACUAGUCAGGGCUGGCCAAGUGCAGCUGUGAAUGCCACCUUUUGCCGUGGAGCUAGUAUGUCAAACCCCAGAGUCAUGGGGUUGAGUGACUGCUCAGCUGUAGAACAUGAGCCUUGUAUGUUCGAGGCUCAGAGUUCCACUCCCAGCAUCAUCAAAAUGAAAACUGUGGUUUCUGCUCUCACCUGUGGUUUAUCUACCUCACAUCCUCCUUUGUCUCUGCCGGGUGUCACACUCAGGUCCUGACUGGCCGCUGCUGAGUGGCCCGGAUGUUCUGCGUUCCCUGUCUGAGUGCUUUUCUCCCCUGUGGUUCCUGUCACUCAUCAUUCUUGGGCUUUUGUCUCCUGUAGCCUAGGCUGGCCCAGAACUCACUGCAAAGCUGAAGCUGACCUUGGAACUCCUGAUCCCCCAACCCCCUCAACUUUCUGAGCGUUGAGAUUACAAAUAUGCCAUUGUAUCUGCUUUUCCCUUCUGAGAACCUUUGUUGUCUUUACUUUUUUGAAAAUUUUCGAGACAGGGUUUCUCUGUAGCUUUUGGUUCCUGUCCUGGAACUAGUUCUUGUAGACCAGGCUGGCCUCGAACUCUCAGAGAUCCGCCUGCCUCUGCCUCCAGAGUGCUGGGAUUAAAGACAUGCGUCACCACCCCGGCUUUUCUUGUGUUUUUUUUUUUUUUUUUUUUUUUUUUUUUUUUUUUUUUUUUUUUUUUUUUUUUUUUUUUUUUUUUUUUUUUUUUUUUUUUUUUUUUGAGACAGGGUUUCUUUGUAGCUUUGGAGCCUAUCCUGGAACUUGCUCUGUAGACCAGGCUGGUCUUGAACUCGCAGAGAUCCAUCUGCCUUUGCCUCCUUAGUGCCACCACCGCCUGGCUAAAAAUCUUGUUAUUUAUUUUAUUUAUUCAUUUGCUAAAGUCUCAUGCAGUUUAGGCUGACCUGGGACUUGAGGAUAACCUGGAACUUCUGAUCUUCCUGCCUCACCUUCCUAAGGGUGGGGGUCUAGUAAACAGACCAUAGCUGGCAUUUGCUCACCCCGAGGCCAAGACCAUAAGUUGUAGAGGAUUCCUAUACUGGAGAAGAGUAUCAAGCUCAUGGUAUUUGUCUGUGUUGCUUCAGGAAGUGAGGGGCCUGUUUAAGAAUGACGAUAAUCACAUCUAUGGGAGCCCAGGCCUGCUGAGUCCUAACUGACUGGAGUCAGGCUUUCCUGGGAGCCCUUGAAUGCAGCUCUGCCUAGGGAUUGCCAGCAGCCUGGAGAAUGCACUGGAAAGCCUCAUGCCUGAAAAACAGGAAACCCUCCUCUUUCCAAGGGAAAAGUGUCCUGUUAUCUGUCCUGACCUCUGCGGUUCCUUGGUCCUGAUCACCAUCGGCUCUGAGGAUGACGGAGUCACUUUACCUGCUGUGUCAUUGACAGCUGAGGACACAGAUCUAAGAAACUGUCCCAGUGUCCUCCAGGGCUCGUUCCCACUACAGGAGUCACCCUGGGGUGUAGCUCAGUCGUAGAGCACACACCUGGCGAGCAGAGGGUGGAUUUCGAGCCUGGAGACAAAGGACAGGAGGCACUGGUGAGUGCUUGUCAUCUGCCAAAUUUCAGUUAAAAUCCUUUUGAAGUUAAGAAUUAAAACUGGUAUCAUGUUACUCCAACCUCUAUCUGCCUCAUUCACCGAGUGUUAAUGAACCCAAGGCUGCAGCCGGUCUCAUUAAAUCCCCCAAAACAACUCUGCCAAGGAGGGUAUGGCUUGCUGAUAAAAAGGGAGGCCAAGAGAGAGGUUGCUUUGCCCCAGCUCUCCCACGACAGAGCCAGAGCGGGCUGGGAAAUUGUUCUCCCAGCCAACGCCUACUUAGUUUUCAAAGACGUGCCACACUGUAUCUGCUGGUCAUGGUGGGUGAACACUUGUAAUCCCCUCACCGGAGAGGUAGAGGCAGAAGGAUCAGAAGUUCAAGGCUAGCUUCAGCUACACUGUGAGUUCAAGGGCAGCCUGGGCUACGUGAGACGUUGUCUUAAAACAACAAUGACCAAAAGAUUCUCCCCUUGAGUCUUUGGGAGGGCAGCGCUGUAAUCCUGUUGCUGGCAGUCCCAAGGUCAGAUUUUGGGUGAUGGCUUACAGAAAUGUGGAUGGAGGAGUCGCCAGCAUCCUGCAGGGCUACCACUUUCAGAACUGAACCACCACCCCGUAGAACGUAGUUUGUUACAACGUUUUCUAUUUCAGUUUUAUUUUGAGACAGUGUUUCACUGUGUAGUUUGUAGCCCUGACUGGCCUAGAACUCUGUAGACCAUGCUAGUGUUGAAAGAGAUCUUCUGCCUUGCUAUGUGUGCUUUGAGCCCAGUUCUUGGAGGGCAGAGGUAGGAAGAUCUGUGACCAGGUGGAAGACCAGCCUGGUCCAUAGAGCAGAGUUUCAGGACAGUCAGGGCUACAUAGAGAAACCCUGUCUCAAAAAAAAAAAAAAAAAAAAAAAAAAAAAAAAAAAAAAAAAAACCAGAAACCCCCAAAUAACAAGAGAUCUGCCCACUUCUUCUUCCUGAGUGCUGGGAUUAAAGGCAUGAGCCACCUCACCGAGUUUAAAGGUAUGGUUUAGGCUGUCCUGGAACUCCUGAUCCUCCUACUCCUGCCUCUUCAGCACAGCACAGUCGGGUUUGAUUGUAGUCUCUGUUGUCUGUGGAGUUAGUACCUUGCACAUGAGAUAUACCUUGUUAGUUUUUAUUUUAACGGUAGGGGUGGCCAGAGGGUUCUUCAACUGUGUUCUUUCCACAGGUUAGGGUGAUAUCUGAAUAGCAAAUGGUACUUCAAGCUGUGUUUCUUGAGAUAAACAUUGCAUAUUUACAAGGCUGUGCCGUCCACCCCUCUUCUUCCGGAUCCUUACUCCCAUGCCAACUUCAUAGACAGUAAAAUAAAUAAAUUAGCUGUUUUUUUUCUUGGACUGACAGGCGGGUGGGAGUCCAUAAUAGAUUCUUUUGGGUGGGGUGGGACUUCUGGCUACACUUUAUCUGCAAUCAAACUUCAGUUAUUAAAGUUCUACACAGGGAACAGGGUCUGGAGAUCAUCUUCGAAUGCUCUAGUUUAAACUCAGUUAAUAGCUGAGAUAAUCAUCGUUACAGCUUGAAUUACAGAGUAAACUGGGGUGGGGGGUGUAUAGCUUGUGGUGUCACACUUGCCCAGCAUAUGGGGAUCUCCACCCCCAGCACUGCCAAAACAAUCUCUCCAAACUGAUGUGUGGGUAGACAGAUGUGUUAGUGAACUGCACAGGUGACCGAUCAAACACUCGACAUUUUUAUGACCCUAAACAAGCCCUGCACCUUACUUCCUGGUGUGGAUUAUAGUCUUGUUUUUAAAAUGAACCAUAAAAAUGAGGGGCAAUAAAAUCUUGGGUUUUUUUUUUUUCUUUUGGAUUUCUAUUACCGUAAGUCAGACUUUAUCAAAUAACAACUUUGGGCUCACCAGGUAGACACACUUGCUGCCAAGUCUGCUAGCCUGUUUCAAUCCCUGGAGUUUACGGGGCAGGACAGAGACAGCCCCAGCAGGUGGCCUCUGGCCGUGGUGUCCCCUUUCUCAAUAAAGAAAUGAAUGUAAAACACAAAUCCAAAAGGCAACUAUGAACACUGAAAAAUUCUCCUGCGCGUGCCAAAAUGCUUGAUGCUAUAGGGUGGGGGGUCUCGUCAAAACUGGCUCGCAGGGGCAGCUGACUUCUCUCAGACCUGGAAUGGGAAUGCGGAAAAACCCGAGGCAGGCAGGGCUAGGGUGGACGUAAAUUAACUACCAAUAAAACUGUGGAGAAGAGAAUCUUUUGAGGGCCGCUGCUCCGAGGUUCAGCCCGUUUGAGUCGCUGAUAACCUUGUCAAGCUGGAAGAUAAAGGCCUGUCCUGUCACCCCGGGCACCUGGCUGAGCCACAAUAAAGGGCGUAAUCUCCCCAGGGUGGAGCCUGGCCAAGCUCGGCCUGCAGUAAUUACAGCUCUAGAAUUGCCAACCCCUGCUGAGAAACCGGGUUGCAAGGGUGAGGGGGAAGAGAAGAGCUGGAGGCCAGGAAACGUUUGUUUCUGUCCUUGGAUUUAAAAGAGAAAGCAAUCCAAACAAGGACCAGUUCUCUAGAGAGUGAGAAAAAACAGCUAGGGGCUAGGUCCCCCUGAUGGGUUAACCAGUUUGCUGACUGUCAAGGAAAGAGGCUCAGCUGUGAGAAUAAUCCCAGAAAUUUUAAACUGGAGCCUUGCCUUCUACGUGUAAAGAGCCGAGUCAUUGCUUUGCUAAACUGGGUAGGAAGUUACGGGAGCACAGACUGACUGACUCAUUUGUUGCCCUUCGCUCUGGCUGUUGGGAAAAAAAAAAAAAAAAAAGGCAAGAAAUCGGCUUUAAGUCCCAGCUCCGUAAGGGAAUUCCUCUCUGGCGGGGGUGAAAGCCAGCCACACAAAAGAGCCCCUGUGGACGUCUCAUUUACAAUCUCCCCUAGGACACCGAAAAGACCGCCUCAAUAAACCGGGCUCAGAAACACCCAUUGUUUGAAAUCUGCCAUUAGCAACAGGCUACCAUCACCCAAAGGCUUUGCAAAAGAAAAGAUUCGGGUGGAGGAAGCCGGGGACUGGGAAACUGGAAAGGCAGGAAGCCGAGUCCGGCCACCCGAGAGGACAAGCAGAAUAAAGUUAGUGGUGUUUCCAUAUUUUU